ACGGAGGGUGCAAGCGUUAAUCGGAAUUACUGGGCGUAAAGCGCACGCAGGCGGUUUGUUAAGUCAGAUGUGAAAUCCCCGGGCUCAACCUGGGAACUGCAUCUGAUACUGGCAAGCUUGAGUCUCGUAGAGGGGGGUAGAAUUCCAGGUGUAGCGGUGAAAUCCGUAGAUAUCAGGAGGAACACCGGUGGCGAAGGCGGCCACCUGGACAGGUACUGACGCUGAGGCACGAAAGCGUGGGGAGCAAACAG
rnacentral:rRNA from 1 species